rnacentral:rRNA from 1 species
UGCCAGCAGCCGCGGUAAUACGGAGGGUGCAAGCGUUAAUCGGAAUUACUGGGCGUAAAGCGCGCGUAGGCGGAUGUUUAAGUUUCAUGUGAAAGCCCUGGGCUCAACCCCGGAAGUGCAUUGGAAACUGGCGAACUUGAGUACGGGAGAGGAAAGUGGAAUUCCGAGUGUAGGGGUGAAAUCCGUAGAUAUUCGGAGGAACACCAGUGGCGAAGGCGGCUUUCUGGCUCGAUACUGACGCUGAGGUGCGAAGGCGUGGGUAGCGAACGGGAUUAGAUA